rnacentral:rRNA from 1 species
CGGACGGGUGAGUAACGCGUGAGAAUCUGGCUCCAGGUCGGGGACAACAGUUGGAAACGACUGCUAAUACCGGAUGUGCCGAGAGGUAAAAGGCUUGCUGCCUGGAGAUGAGCUCGCGUCUGAUUAGCUAGUUGGUGUGGUAAGAGCGCACCAAGGCGACGAUCAGUAGCUGGUCUGAGAGGAUGAUCAGCCACACUGGGACUGAGACACGGCCCAGACUCCUACGGGAGGCAGCAGUGGGGAAUUUUCCGCAAUGGGCGAAAGCCUGACGGAGCAAUACCGCGUGAGGGAGGAAGGCUCUUGGGUUGUAAACCUCUUUUCUCAAGGAAUAAGUUCUGAAGGUACUUGAGGAAUAAGCAUCGGCUAACUCCGUGCCAGCAGCCGCGGUAAUACGGAGGAUGCAAGCGUUAUCCGGAAUGAUUGGGCGUAAAGGGUCCGCAGGUGGCAAUGUAAGUCUGCUGUCAAAGAAUCACGCUCAACGUGAUCAAGGCAGUGGAAACUACGUAGCUAGAGUACGGUCGGGGUAGAAGGAAUUCCUGGUGUAGCGGUGAAAUGCGUAGAGAUCAGGAAGAACACCGGUGGCGAAAGCGUUCUGCUAGGCCUGUACUGACACUGAGGGACGAAAGCUAGGGGAGCGAAUGGGAUUAGAUACCCCAGUAGUCAC